rnacentral:lncRNA from 1 species
UGGGUUUUUGGGGGUAUCUUCUUCCCUUUGACUUAGGUUCCAGUUCUCGACCCCCAUCUCUGUAGCCAGUGUGUCAGUGUCCUCAGCAAGAGCUGCUUAGUUAUUUUGCAGAACUUAAGGGAAACUGCUGCUUUUCAGCUUUUAUGUGUUUGGUUUGAGUCUUAAAAAGUGAGGUGAGUGCUGUGGAGAUGGCCUGACAGGGAAGACCGUUACUGCCAAGCCUGGAGGCCUGAGCUCUGUCUCUGGAACCCACACAACAACAAGAAAUAAAUACAUAAUGCUGAUUUUUUUUUUAAGUGAAGUUAAUAGGAUUUGCUGUAUUACCCGUGUGGCAUCAGGAGUCUUGGGAUCGCAUGCUUGAGGUGGGACAAGGGCAGUGAUUCCUGAAGGGCAACCCAGUUAUUCCAGGAGUGCCCCCACCUCAAAGUAUUUCUUGGCUUGUAAAUGCUAAAAUUGAGGGGAUCUCAGCCCCAAAUUCGGCCUCUUUCCACCAGAAUGGUUUCUACUGCCAAAUUACUACCUUGUUUGUUUACCAGUUUGACAUAAAGUCUUGCUGUGUAGACCUCAAACUCAUGGCAGUCCUCCUACUUCUAUUUCCUGAACUAGUCUUGUGGGUGUGAACUACCACACCCAAUUUAACUACUUUUGAAAAUUUUCCCUGCCACUCACAAAGAUAGAAUCUAACCCUUUAUACUUUUUCUUGCCUGAAUUGGCUACAUAAACCUUCCAGUGUGCUUCAUGUACUGGAUCAGGUGCAUUAGAGGAUAGGGUCUUAGCACCUUUGGCCUCAUGUGAGAGGAAUGUGCCGCAGGCCACAGCUGCCUGGGAGCUGCUUUCCUAGGCCUCCGCAAGGGAAAGUGCCUUCAGAGCUGAACAGAGAGUACAAGGUCUCCCCUGUACUCACCUGGCACUGGUGUGAGGAAGCUCAUUAAAGAGCAGACACAAGGCAGAGCACCCUAUAGCAGAUCUUUAAGCUGUGGGUGCUGGCUUUCACAGUGGGAUGAGGGUGUCUUUACUUUUAGCCUGGGCAUUUGGGUAACUUUCCAAAUCAUUUUCACUUUUCCUUGUAUUCCUUUCCUUCUUUCGUUUCUGGACACGAUCAGCUUCUUUGGAACACAGUCUCUGUAUCAUCCCACUGGGCCUUCUGCAAAAUAGAUACUGUAGAAACUAGCAUAUCAGGGUCAGCUCAAAUUUGUGGGCAGUUGUUAUACUAUGAAAAAAGAUGUGUCAAACGCUCGGCUGCAAAACUAUGCUGGUUUGACAGACUGACCUGAACUUCUGUGCUCAAGUAGUCCUGCCUCGGCCUUGUAAGGAGCUGGAGUAUAGAUUAUACCAUUUCCCUUUUUUUCUAUUUAUCUAUCAUCCAUCUACCUAUCUACCUGCUUACCUACAAAAAGAGAAGCCUUCCUGUCCUUUGUUCUCCUGGUCAGCUACAUGCAACAUCAAAUCUAUCCCUGGUGGGUUUUGUCCUGGGAAUUAGGGCUUCUACAUAAUAAUGCUGUGCCUACAGAGUAAGGAAAGUCCCUGAUGGCCUCCUGCAGAAGAAAAACCCAGUCGCCCAAAGUUGGAUAUCAGAGGUAGUUUUCUCCCUCCAUUUUUAUUUUUAAUAGGUUGUUUGCUUGUUGCUUUUAGUAGCAACAAAAUGGUCUUCUUAUGUCCGAUGUUCUCAUCCUUUCUCGCCUCCCAAGUGCUAGGGCUACAUUGUGCACCUCCAUGCCUAGUUAGUUCCUUGUAGGGUUAAUGCUGGAGGGGUUUAGAUAUUACAUUCUGUGGCUUCCUGGGCCUUAAUCAUUCUCUUAGACUUGGCAAGGAACAUGGGCUCUCCUGCUUUGGACCCUUUGGGCAGUUAUGCUCUCAAAUCUGGCUUUUUAAACCGUGUAUCCCUUUAUGAUACAGUAGAAAGCCCAUUAUCUUUUCCGCCUCAUUAUUAGCAUUCUGAAAAAAGUGGCUAUGCGAGUUUACAAAAGAACACGUAAGCAAGUCACCACUGACAAUGAGUGCACAGCAGUACAUAGCGGGCUGUCAGGAAACAAGGGUCCUGGGAUCGCCAGUGGCCCUUUUAUGUUUCUUUGAAAAACUGUCAAUUAAAAGCCUUUUUAAAAAUUUUUUAUUAGAUUUUUCUUUAUUUACAUUUCAAAUGUUAUCCCCUUUCCUAGUUUCCCUUCCAAAAAUCCCCUAUCUCCUCUCCUCACCCCCUGCUCCCCAACCCACCCAUUCCCGCUUCCUGGCCCUGGCAUUCCCCUAUACUGGGGCAUAGAACCUUCACAGGACCAAGGACCUCUCCUCCCAUUGAUGACUGACUACAGAGCACAGGGUCCCCAAUGAAGGAGCUAGAGAAAGUACCCAAGGAGCUGAAGGGGUUUGCAGCCCCAUAGGAGAAAACAAUAUGAACUAACCAGUAUCCCCAGAGCUCCCUGGGACUAAACCACCAAUUAGAAAAAACACAUGGUGGAACUCAUGGCUCUAGCUGCAUAGGUAAAAGCUGGUCUUAUGUAGAACUCUGAUGGUGGACCAUGCCAGCUGUGAGGCAAGCCUGUAUGCCCCUCCCCUUAUGGGUUGUUUCCAGCCCUGGCUUAUGCUGUGGGGACCAGCAAAGCAGAGGCUACACUGUAUGUAGCACUUGGAUCUUUUCUGAAGCGACAUAUAAGGUUUACAUCAUUAGAUCCAGCUUCUGCUAUUUCCUGCAGCUCCAGUGUGAAAGAAAGAGCCUUCAUUCUUUUUGAACUUUGCAAAAGAAAGUAGAAUUGUGUCUUUUUUUCUUUACAGUGUUAAUGUAGCCUCUCUUUUUAUUUUAUGGCGGUGGCUCUCAACCCUUCUCAUGCUGCAGCCCUUUAAUACAGUUCCUCCAGCUGUGUUGACUCCCGACUAUAAAAUUAUUUUUGUUGUUACUUCAUAACUAAUUUUGCUGCUGUUCUGAAUUGUAAUGUAAAUAUUUGGAGAUUUGAGGGGGUUCUCACACCUCCAGGAGCUCCCUGAUCCAGUUAGACUGGCUGACUAAUGAGUUCUUGGGACCCACCUACUUCCACUUAAAGUCACGCAACCCUGCACCUGGCUUUUACAUGGGAGCUAGAGAUUUGAACUCAUGUCCUCACUUCACUGAAGGAGCCAUCUCCCCAGUUUUUAACUUUAUCGAAAGUCUCGAGGAGGCUGUGUAACCUGCUCAAGUCACAGCUUGUAGGUGGCUGAAUGGAAUCCUAGUUCUCCCUGAGCUCGAGGUGUAUGCUCUCUUGAAGGAAUUCUUCCCCAUAGGAGAGGGAGGACAGGGCUCUGACCAUAUUUGCAUGGCUAGAGCUUUUCCCUGCAGAGCCAUCUUGCCUGUGUCCCUCCCACUUCCCUUUACUCUCUUAGCUGUUGAUCAAGAGAGCUGUUGAGCACAGAGUAGAGGCUCAGUAAAUGCUUGCUACAUGAUCAUGGGAGCUUCAGUACUUUCUCUGACUCCCUGACUUCUACAGUGCUUUGCACUACAAGUUCUAUGCUGGAUAUUAUUUUU